AAAGAAGAAACUCCCAUAUUUACUCUGCAGACUCUUCCAACUGACCUAAAAAUCCUGCGGGAACAACAGGCUACAGUUGCCCCUGAAGAAAUACAGAAGUGGAAACAGAAAGGGGCAGUUCUGAAGGAUGGAGUGUACUCCAACAACCUCAAGUUCCGCCUCCCUAAGAAUUUGUACCCAGCAGUCGUACAAUGGGCACACGGACCUGCACAUUUAUCAAAGGAUCUAAUGAAUGCUCUUGUACAAAAAUACUACCUCAUUGUCCC